rnacentral:rRNA from 1 species
CAGUCGCCGCGGGAAUACGAAGGGGGCUAGCGUUGUUCGGAAUUACUGGGCGUAAAGCGUGCGCAGGCGGUUAUAUAAGACAGAUGUGAAAUCCCCGGGCUCAACCUGGGAACUGCAUUUGUGACUGUAUAGCUAGAGUACGGCAGAGGGGGAUGGAAUUCCGCGUGUAGCAGUGAAAUGCGUAGAUAUGCGGAGGAACACCGAUGGCGAAGGCAAUCCCCUGGGCCUGUACUGACGCUCAUGCACGAAAGCGUGGGGAGCAAACAGGAUUAGAUACCCCAGUAGUCCCUGUCUCUUAUAC